rnacentral:rRNA from 1 species
UUUGCGGCGGCCAUGGCCCAGGAGAGACGCCCGGUCCCAUUCCGAACCCGGAAGCUAAGACCUGGCACGGCGAUGGUACUGCACCCGACAGGGUGUGGGAGAGUAGCACGCCGCCGCACC